rfam:TPA: Bos taurus chromosome 20, whole genome shotgun sequence.
CAAAAGGCCCUUUUUAGGGCCAAAAAACAAAAACAAAAACAAAAAGU